rnacentral:rRNA from 1 species
UACGGGGGGGGGCAAGCGUUGUUCGGAAUUACUGGGCGUAAAGGGCUCGUAGGCGGCCUGUUAAGUCGAACGUGAAAUCCCCGGGCUCAACCCGGGAACUGCGUCCGAUACUGGCAGGCUUGAAUCCGGGAGAGGGAUGCGGAAUUCCAGGUGUAGCGGUGAAAUGCGUAGAUAUCUGGAGGAACACCGGUGGCGAAGGCGGCAUCCUGGACCGGCAUUGACGCUGAGGCGCGAAAGCCAGGGGAGCAAACGGG